GUUCUGGUGGAGCUUUGGAUUGCACUACUUGCUGGACAGAACAUGCAAUGGGAAGAGGCAGCUAGCACACGGAAUGAAGGACGUACGUGGAGAAAGCUAAAAACAGAAGGAAGGAGCUGCUGGACGGACUGGUUUUUAAGGGAGUUAUUUUCAGCUCAAUUUCCUGUUUUAUGAUCUAAGUUGUUUUCAUUUUAGCUUGAGUUUUAUUUUAAUAUUAUCAUGGAUAAUGUUUGGAGUUUUAACUUUUAUUUUAUUUUCUUUUCUUUUCAGUUUUAUGUUAUUGUGUGGUUUCAUUGUAUUUUAUUUUAA